rnacentral:rRNA from 1 species
GGGGAAUUGUUCACAAUGGGCGCAAGCCUGAUGACGCAAUGCCGCGUGGAGGAUGAAGGUCUUCGGAUUGUAAACUCCUGUUGCCAGGGACGAAUGGCUCCGACCUAACACGUCGGAGAAUGACGGUACCUGGUGAGGAAGCCCCGGCUAACUCUGUGCCAGCAGCCGCGGUAAUACAGAGGGGGCAAGCGUUGUUCGGAAUUACUGGGCGUAAAGGGCGCGUAGGCGGCCAACUAAGUCACACGUGAAAUCCCCAGGCUCAACUUGGGAACUGCGUGUGAUACUGGAUGGCUUGAAUUCGGGAGAGGGAUGCGGAAUUCCAGGUGUAGCGGUGAAAUGCGUAGAUAUCUGGAGGAACACCGGUGGCGAAGGCGGCAUCCUGGACCGGUAUUGACGCUGAGGCGCGAAAGCCAGGGGAGCAAAC